ACUUGUUGUAAAUCCCUUACAGGGGCCCGGUGGUAAUAAGCACCAGAGAAAGGCCUAAAUACGGACACAAUGGGUGAGUGACUAACUUAGCAGAUAAUUCUGCUGAAUUGUUUGGCCCACUGAUGAGAUUCGUUUCGGGAUCAAGUUGAGCCUUUUGGGCUCCCCAGUCAGCCCCACAAUGUAUAUUUCACACAUGCAAAUGUGCUCAUAUGGAAGUCUUCGCGAAACAGCAGCCAGUUUUAUUUGAGAUGCCUUACAAUUUGAAAAUAAAUGAUGCCAAAUUUAACCAGAUGAUGAACACCUGUUAGUCUUCCACUGGCUCUUUUGAGACCAGUAUUUGCCAAAUGAAGUUGGUCUGCGGUU
rnacentral:lncRNA from 1 species